CCUGUUCGAGCGUCAUUACAACCCUCAAGCUCUGCUUGGUAUUGGGCACCGCCUGUGGGCGGGCCCCAAAAUCAGUGGCGGCGCAUCUGGCUUCAAGCGUAGUAAAUCUCUCGCUCUGGAGACCACGGUGUGCUCCUGCCAGCAACCCCCAUCUUUUUAAGGUUGACCUCGGAUCAGGUAGGGAUACCCGCUGAACUUAA
rnacentral:misc_RNA from 1 species